AGCUUUGCACAGUGACAGUAUCGUAGCCAAUGAGGUUUAUUGAGGCACGAUUAUUGCGAAUUGAAAACUUUUCCCAUACAACCCUCUUUGUAACCAUAAAAUAAAAAUCUACAAACAAGAAAUAAUGAAAAUGAGAGAGCCA